UGUUGAUUGACAUGAUUGUUUGCAAUACAGUACAGAACGUAUUGUAGUUUGAGACUCUUUGUUUACUGUUAUGUUUUUUCCGCCUGUACCACCCGUGAGACCGUUAAACAGAGGUCCCGAGUGUCUGAUCAUAUGGACAAUGCAGAUCCUGUGGCACCAAUCGACAACAUGAUGGAGAUUAUCCUCGUAUCCUGGCCAACAAUCCCCAAAAUAAAAUUGGUCACUCAUUCUAUGGCUCUCUGUUGGGACACUCUUGAGUUAAUAUGCGAGGUGUCUGGAACGUAUUUGGAGAGAGCGCGCGGUGGAGUGGUUGAAGGCAAAUCCAAUGAUGGCAUUAGUGUGUGGGAGGUUUGGUUGGGUUCUGCUCUUGCUAACCAUCCCUGUCAAGCCCUUUUGACGCCGGAUGAAAAGCGGAUAUUACUAACCGUAAAACCACAAAAAUAUACAACUAGUGUUAACUAGUAAUUGGUACUUAUUACGUUUUGUACUUACAGGUAAACAGAACAGUCGAAUAAUGGAAAGGUGAGGAUAUUUCUCCACUCUUCCAUGCUCACUUCCCAUCCUGCCUGUGCAGGUGCUGCCAUCCCCAAUGGAGAUCGUUACAGUAUUUAAAUUCCUGUUCUCACCCCAGCGUUGCUAUGCUGCUUCUCGAACCCCACUGACCAUUUCCAAUUUAAUCCCAUUCCAUGCUCUCUCCCCAUAUUGUCUGCACUGGUGCUCACUCCCACCCUCAUCGGCAAGACUUGGAGGGCAGACAGAUACCGUGGGCAAGUAUACCUCCCACUCAGCUUCUGUUUCCUUGCAAGAAGUAUCCCUAACGGGUUGAUUGGUUCAAUCACGACUGGCAGACAUAGCUUGCCAGAGAGAGCACCAAAUAGCAAGCUUUGUGAUUUUAAGUAUUGAGACCCCAGCCUUUACCCCAAUGCACACGUUGAGGUCGACAAACAUUUACUCUCGCCAUCCUGACUCUUGGGCUCAUUGCGAUCAGGUUGGCAGAGCUACUGCAUGAACAUCAGAAACACAGCAAUUUCCAAGGGUCGGAGGCAUGACUGGAACUCAACGUCUGGUGUGGAUACCUGUUACCGUGGUGAUAGUUUUCAGCACAAAUCUAUCCGUGCCCCAAACACGCCCCCCGCUACACCCACACACACAAUUUUGUUUUGUCAUCGGGCUCUGUAUAUCACAGAAACCAUUUACCAAAAUUUACUCUCUCCAAGUCAGGGAUCUGCCAUUUUACCAGCUUUUGAAAUCACCGUCUGGCAAACUUUCUGCUGCUUUUUCCAACUGUAGCACCAGAGACAGCGACAGGACAGAAAGCGGCGAUUCGACCCCACAUGACUGUGAUGAUGCUCCUUCAAGAGUAUUUCUGUCAGUGCCAUUUCGCGGUACUUUCCGCCAGAUGAGAGACAAUAUUUGGUGUUUAGCUCCGUUUCAAGCAUAGUUCUGAGCUCUCUAAAUAUCAUCAGUAGAACAGCAGUAAUUAAUCGCCCUCUGCUCUUUUUUUCCUUAGGAAUGUACCCAUGGGAGGCGGCCCACAAAACAGCAGCGUCACAUAUGCAACUGUGAGAAUUGUUCCACGCUCGAUGCCUCCAGCGGACGCUGAAAUCAUCUACGCCAAUUUAGCAAUAGGAAAGAGAAAUGAGGAAGGCCGUGAAGCCGAUGAGGAAGAUGGUGCUGUCUACGCCACAGUCAGAGUUUAGUGCGGUGGCCAAUGGCCAUUAUUUGCUUUCUGUCCUGGCUCUAUCAACCCACCAUCACCUAUAUUCGAUUCCAGCUUUAGUCUGACAUGAACGGGGCUCUCACAUCACGUGUCAUCCUAACCCGGAAGGAGACUGAGUUAGACACUACGGAAGAGGGAGCGAGGGAGAAACGGUUUAUGACUGAGAGACUUCCUGAGAGACUUCAUGAGAGACGGAGAAAGAAUGAUAGACUUCCUGAGAGACUUCGUGAGAGACAAAUUUAAAGAGAGACUGAAUGAGAGUUAGAGAGACUGAAUUUGUGAGACGUAGAGAGAGAUUGAGAGAGGGACUGAGAAUGGGAGAGAAAAUAAGUGAGCCUGAGAGAGAGUUUGUGAUUGAAUGCGAUUGAGUGAUUAAAUGACACUGAGUGAGAGACGGAGUAAGAAAGAGAGAGAGAGAGACUGGCUGCAAGAAAGACGGAGUGAGAGAGAAACUGAUUGAGUAAGAUUGAGUGAAACACUGAGUCAGAAACAGUGAGACAGAGGGAAAUAAUAGAAUGAGAUCCUGUGUGUGAGAGGGUGAGAGAUUGAAUGAGAGAGCGUCAGGGAA